AGCUUUUCUAAGCUCACAUCAUCAGCUCCCAUAAGAUAGAGGAGCUUGGCAGACUUGAUGCUAUCCUUGGGAUCGGAUAGAAGGCCAAGGUCAAGGGCAGCAGCUUGAGCAGCAUUGAGGAGGAGGACGUUGAGUCCAUUCCAGUCCGGUCUGGUGACUUUCGCAUUCUUCGCUAUGGUCUCAACAGCAGCAAAUAUUGCAUCGUUAUCUUUCCGCUCAAAUACCCCAGCCCCGACAAUGAUAGCAGG
rnacentral:misc_RNA from 1 species